UGACACUCUUCCAUUUGACUCAUCAAUGCCACAGUCAUCCCAGCAUUUGUCAAUUUCCCCAGUAUCUGUGUCCCCGCCCAAUCAGUUGAUGGAUGAAGAUGACCCAGGAACAUCUGAAGGAACGAUUCUUUCUCAGCAAAUUGAUCCAACUGGCAAGCAUUCAUCCGAGGGCGAUCAAACACGCGCAACAGAGGUUAUCAGUGUAAUUACCCAUGAAGCAUCGACAAG